GUUGUCGUUACUGCUGACACUAGCUCCAGAUUUCCAGCAGCAUCACGCCUUAAAACUGUUCAAACAAUGUGAAUUACUACUACGAUACUGUUUCCAUAGCUUUUAAAGCAGAAAGAAUUUUGAAAAAAUGAGUUCUAAGUUUCACACGCUUCGGCUCAAAAUCUCUGUUUUGAUGGUGAAUCUAUUUAUGAGUGUUACUGCAGAGUCAAGAUCAGAAUGAAGGAAAUAUUGUCAACAUUACCAGCGGCAUUCCGGCCAGCAACGGUGGCAGUAAGCCAGAACUGCUGUGGUGAUGCAUAACUGAGCCUGCUGCAGAAUUUGGUACCAGAUCUUCAACUGUAGCUCCUUAAUUAUCUUAUAAGACCAGAUUUUCAUUAUUUCUUAGCUCAUAAGACUUUCUUCUACAAAGAUUAAAAGAUUAUUUUGAGU